rnacentral:misc_RNA from 1 species
AACGCAUAUUGCGCUCUUUGGUAUUCCGAAGAGCAUGCUUGUUUGAGUAUCAGUAAACACCUCAAAGUCUUCAAUUUGUUUUGAAUGGCUUUGGACUUGAGCAAUCCCAACACCAGUCUUUACGAUCGGUGGAGGGUUGCUUGAAAUGCAGGUGCAGCUGGACAUUCUCCUGAGCUAAAAGCAUAUUUAUUUAGUCCCGUCAAACGGAUUAUUACUUUUGCUGCAGCUAACAUAAAGGGAGUUUGACCGUAUUGGCUGACUGAUGCAGGAUUUCACAAGGGUCGGCAACGAUUCUUGUAAAACUCGAUCUCAAAUCAAGUAAGACUACCCGCUGAACUUAA